rnacentral:rRNA from 1 species
GAUGAACGCUGGCGGCGUGCCUAAUACAUGCAAGUCGAGCGAACGGACGAGAAGCUUGCUUCUCUGAUGUUAGCGGCGGACGGGUGAGUAACACGUGGAUAACCUACCUAUAAGACUGGGAUAACUUCGGGAAACCGGAGCUAAUACCGUAUAAUAUGUUGAACCGCAUGGUUCAAAAGUGAAAUACGGUCUUGCUGUCACUUAUAGAUGGAUCCUCGCUGCAUUAGCUAGUUGGUAAGGUAACGGCUUACCAAGGCAACGAUGCAUAGCCGACCUGAGAGGGUGAUCGGCCACACUGGAACUGAGAAACGGUCAAGACUCCUACGGGAGGCAGCAGUAGGGAAUCUUCCGCAAUGGGCGAAAGCCUGACGGAGCACCGCCGCGUGAGUGAUGAAGGUCUUCGGAUCGUAAAACUCUGUUAUUAGGGAAGAACAUAUGUGUAAGUAACUGUGCACAUCUUGACGGUACCUAAUCAGAAAGCCACGGCUAACUACGUG